rnacentral:rRNA from 1 species
GCGGCGUGCUUAACACAUGCAAGUCGAACGGAAAGGCCCUGCUUUUGUGGGGUGCUCGAGUGGCGAACGGGUGAGUAACACGUGAGUAACCUGCCCUUGACUUUGGGAUAACUUCAGGAAACUGGGGCUAAUACCGGAUAGGAGCUCCUGCUGCAUGGUGGGGGUUGGAAAGUUUCGGCGGUUGGGGAUGGACUCGCGGCUUAUCAGCUUGUUGGUGGGGUAGUGGCUUACCAAGGCUUUGACGGGUAGCCGGCCUGAGAGGGUGACCGGCCACAUUGGGACUGAGAUACGGCCCAGACUCCUACGGGAGGCAGCAGUGGGGAAUAUUGCACAAUGGGCGGAAGCCUGAUGCAGCAACGCCGCGUGCGGGAUGACGGCCUUCGGGUUGUAAACCGCUUUCGCCUGUGACGAAGCGUGAGUGACGGUAAUGGGUAAAGAAGCACCGGCUAACUACGUGCCAGCAGCCGCGGUGAUACGUAGGGUGCGAGCGUUGUCCGGAUUUAUUGGGCGUAAAGGGCUCGUAGGUGGUUGAUCGCGUCGGAAGUGUAAUCUUGGGGCUUAACCCUGAGCGUGCUUUCGAUACGGGUUGACUUGAGGAAGGUAGGGGAGAAUGGAAUUCCUGGUGGAGCGGUGGAAUGCGCAGAUAUCAGGAGGAACACCAGUGGCGAAGGCGGUUCUCUGGGCCUUUCCUGACGCUGAGGAGCGAAAGCGUGGGGAGCGAACAGGCUUAGAUACCCUGGUAGUCCACGCUGUAAACGGUGGGUACUAGGUGUGGGGUCCAUUCCACGGGUUCCGUGCCGUAGCUAACGCUUUAAGUACCCCGCCUGGGGAGUACGGCCGCAAGGCUAAAACUCAAAGGAAUUGACGGGGCCCCGCACAAGCGGCGGAGCAUGCGGAUUAAUUCGAUGCAACGCGUAGAACCUUACCUGGGUUUGACAUGGAUCGGGAGUGCUCAGAGAUGGGUGUGCCUCUUUUGGGGUCGGUUCACAGGUGGUGCAUGGCUGUCGUCAGCUCGUGUCGUGAGAUGUUGGGUUAAGUCCCGCAACGAGCGCAACCCUUGUUCACUGUUGCCAGCACGUUAUGGUGGGGACUCAGUGGAGACCGCCGGGGUCAACUCGGAGGAAGGUGGGGAUGACGUCAAGUCAUCAUGCCCCUUAUGUCCAGGGCUUCACGCAUGCUACAAUGGCUGGUACAGAGAGUGGCGAGCCUGUGAGGGUGAGCGAAUCUCGGAAAGCCGGUCUCAGUUCGGAUUGGGGUCUGCAACUCGACCUCAUGAAGUCGGAGUCGCUAGUAAUCGCAGAUCAGCAACGCUGCGGUGAAUACGUUCCCGGGGCUUGUACACACCGCCCGUCAAGUCAUGAAAGUUGGUAACACCCGAAGCCGGUGGCCUAACCGUUGUGGGGGAGCCGUCGAAGGUGGGACUGGUGAUUAGGACUAAGUC